rnacentral:rRNA from 1 species
AGAGUUUGAUCCUGGCUCAGGAUGAACGCUGGCGGCGUGCCUAACACAUGCAAGUCGAACGGGAGCGCGCAGAGGACGAGAUUUCGGUCGAGUCGCACGCGCUUUAGUGGCGGACGGGUGAGUAACGCGUGGAUAACCUGCCUUACACAGGGGGAUAACGCUUAGAAAUAGGCGCUAAUACCGCAUAAGCGCACAGGACCGCAUGGUCCGGUGUGAAAAACUCCGGUGGUAUGGGAUGGAUCCGCGUCUGAUUAGCUGGUUGGUGAGGUAACGGCCCACCAAGGCGACGAUCAGUAGCCGACCUGAGAGGGUGGCCGGCCACAUUGGGACUGAGACACGGCCCGAACUCCUACGGGAGGCAGCAGUGGGGAAUAUUGCACAAUGGGGGAAACCCUGAUGCAGCAACGCCGCGUGAGUGAAGAAGUAUUUCGGUAUGUAAAGCUCUAUCAGCAGGGAAGAAGAAAGACGGUACCUGACUAAGAAGCCCCGGCUAACUACGUGCCAGCAGCCGCGGUAAUACGUAGGGGGCAAGCGUUAUCCGGAUUUACUGGGUGUAAAGGGAGCGUAGACGGCUGUGCAAGUCUGAAGUGAAAGCCCGUGGCUCAACCGCGGAACUGCUUUGGAAACUGUAUAGCUUGAGUACUGGAGAGGCAGGCGGAAUUCCUAGUGUAGAGGUGAAAUGCGUAGAUAUUAGGAGGAACACCAGUGGCGAAGGCGGCCUGCUGGACAGAAACUGACGUUGAGGCUCGAAAGCGUGGGGAGCAAACAGGAUUAGAUACCCUGGUAGUCCACGCGGUAAACGAUGAAUGCUAGGUGUUGGGGAGCAAAGCUCUUCGGUGCCGUCGCAAACGCAGUAAGCAUUCCACCUGGGGAGUACGUUCGCAAGAAUGAAACUCAAAGGAAUUGACGGGGACCCGCACAAGCGGUGGAGCAUGUGGUUUAAUUCGAAGCAACGCGAAGAACCUUACCAGGCCUUGACAUCCUCCUGACACGGCAUGUAAUGUGCCAUUCCUUCGGGACAGGGGAGACAGGUGGUGCAUGGUUGUCGUCAGCUCGUGUCGUGAGAUGUUGGGUUAAGUCCCGCAACGAGCGCAACCCCUGCCCUUAGUAGCCAGCGCGUAAAGGCGGGCACUCUAGGGGGACUGCCGGGGAGGACCCGGAGGAAGGCGGGGAUGACGUCAAAUCAUCAUGCCCCUUAUGGCCUGGGCUACACACGUGCUACAAUGGCGUAACAGAGGGAGGCGAAGCCGCGAGGCGGAGCGAACCCCAAAAAUAACGUCCCAGUUCGGACUGCAGCCUGCAACCCGGCUGCACGAAGCUGGAAUCGCUAGUAAUCGCGGAUCAGAAUGCCGCGGUGAAUACGUUCCCGGGUCUUGUACACACCGCCCGUCA